UUUUGCAUAUUCCAAUAGCGGAGGAAAAGAAACCAACAGGGAUUGCCCUAGUAACGGCGAGUGAAGCGGCAACAGCUCAAAUUUGAAAUCUGGCCUCUUUUGGGGUCCGAGUUGUAAUUUGCAGAGGGCGCUUUGGAGUCGGCAGCGGUCCAAGUUCCUUGGAACAGGACGUCACAGAGGGUGAGAAUCCCGUACGUGGUCGCUAGCCUUCUCCGUGUAAAGCCCCUUCGACGAGUCGAGUUGUUUGGGAAUGCAGCUCUAAAUGGGAGGUAAAUUUCUUCUAAAGCUAAAUAUUGGCCAGAGACCGAUAGCGCACAAGUAGAGUGAUCGAAAGAUGAAAAGCACUUUGGAAAGAGAGUCAAAAAGCACGUGAAAUUGUUGAAAGGGAAGCGCUUGCAGCCAGACUUGCCUGUAGUUGCUCAUCCGGGCUUUUGCCCGGUGCACUCUUCUAUAGGCAGGCCAGCAUCAGUUUGGGCGGUUGGAUAAAGGUCUCUGUCAUGUACCUCUCUUCGGGGAGAACUUAUAGGGGAGACGCCAUGCAACCAGCUCAGACUGAGGUCCGCGCAUUCGCUAGGAUGCUGGCGUAAUGGCUGUAAGCGGCCCGUCUUGAAACACGGACCACAAA
rnacentral:rRNA from 1 species